AGAAGAAAAGUUCUUCUUAAAUGUGUGUAAGGAAGAGAAAAAAGUUUUCUCUUAUGCAUGAAAGAAUUGAGAAGAAAAGGUUCUUCUCUUGAUCUCUAUCAUAGAGAUCUAAUGCGUGGAUCCAGAAAGAAAAAGACAGGGUCUCUUUGUUCUUCAUCUUCUUCAUAUUCCUCUUAGAUCAGUCAACAAAAGAUAUAUUUGCGAGCUAGCACUUUCAGGG
rnacentral:lncRNA from 1 species